rnacentral:rRNA from 1 species
UACGUAGGGGGCGAGCGUUGUCCGGAUUUAUUGGGCGUAAAGAGCGUGUAGGCGCCAGGUAGGUCUGCUGUGAAAACUCGAGGCUCAACCAUCGAGACGUCGGCGGAAACCAUCUGGCUAGAGUCCGGAAAGAGGAGAGCGGAAUUCCUGGUGUAGCGGUGAAAUGCGUAGAGUAUACGGGUGAGGAACACCAGUGGCGAAGGCGACUACCC